AUAUGGCUCAGGAUGAACGCUAGCUACAGGCUUAACACAUGCAAGUCGAGGGGCAGCAUGAACUUAGCUUGCUAAGUUUGAUGGCGACCGGCGCACGGGUGAGUAACACGUAUCCAACCUGCCGAUGACUCGGGGAUAGCCUUUCGAAAGAAAGAUUAAUACCCGAUGGCAUAGUUCUUCCGCAUGGUAGAACUAUUAAAGAAUUUCGGUCAUCGAUGGGGAUGCGUUCCAUUAGGUUGUUGGG
rnacentral:rRNA from 1 species